rnacentral:rRNA from 1 species
AACGAACGCUGGCGGCAGGCCUAACACAUGCAAGUCGAGCGAACCCUUCGGGGUUAGCGGCGGACGGGUGAGUAACGCGUGGGAAUAUGCCCUUUGCUACGGAAUAGCCCCGGGAAACUGGGAGUAAUACCGUAUACGCCCUUUGGGGGAAAGAUUUAUCGGCAAAGGAUUAGCCCGCGUUGGAUUAGGUAGUUGGUGGGGUAAUGGCCUACCAAGCCGACGAUCCAUAGCUGGUUUGAGAGGAUGAUCAGCCACACUGGGACUGAGACACGGCCCAGACUCCUACGGGAGGCAGCAGUGGGGAAUCUUAGACAAUGGGGGCGAACCCUGAUCUAGCCAUGCCGCGUGAGUGAUGAAGGCCCUAGGGUUGUAAAGCUCUUUCAGCUGGGAAGAUAAUGACGGUACCAGCAGAAGAAGCCCCGGCUAACUCCGUG